GACGUAGGGCGCGAGCGUUGUCCGGAUUUAUUGGGCGUAAAGAGCUCGUAGGCGGCUUGUUGCGUCGACCGUGAAAACCCGGGGCUCAGCUUCGGGCUUGCGGUCGAUACGGGCGGGCUAGAGUUCGGUAGGGGAGACUGGAAUUCCUGGUGUAGCGGUGAAAUGCGCAGAUAUCAGGAGGAACACCGGUGGCGAAGGCGGGUCUCUGGGCCGAUACUGACGCUGAGGAGCGAAAGCGUGGGGAGCGAACAGG
rnacentral:rRNA from 1 species